GNUGCGCGGCUUACCAUGCAAGUCGUACGGUAAGGCCCNUUCNGGGGUACACGAGUGACUGACGGAUGAGUGACACAUGAGUGACCUGCCCGCAACUUUGCUGAUAACACUCGGAAACUGGACGCUAAUACUGUAAUAUGUGCUCCUGCUGCAUGGUGGGGGUUGGAAAGCUCCGGCGGUUGUGGAUGGACUCACGGCCUAUCAUACUUGUUGGUGGGGUAGUGGCCUACCAAGGCGGCGACGGGUAGCCGGCCUGAGAGGGUGACCGGCCACAUUGGGACUGAGAUACGGNACCAGACUCCUACGGGAGGCAGCAGUGGGGAAUAUUGCACAAUGGGCGCAAGCCUGAUGCAGCAACGCCGCGUGCGGGAUGACGGCCUUCGGGUUGUAAACCGCUUUCAUCACGGACGAAGCUUUGUGUGACGGUACCUGCAGAAGAAGCACCGGCUAACUACGUGCCAGCAGCCGCGGUGAUACAUACGGUGCGAGCGUUGUCCGGAUUUAUUGGGCGUAAAGGGCUCGUAGGCGGUUGAUCGCGUCGGAAGUGAAAACUUGAUGCUUAACGUUGAGCGUGCUUUCGAUACGGGUUGACUUGAGGAAGGAAGGGGAGAAUGAAAUUCCUGGUGGAUCGAUGGAAUGCGCACAUAUCAGGAGGAACACCCGUGGCUAACGCAGGUCUCUGGACCGUUCCUGACGCUGAGGAGCGAAAGCAUGGGGAGCGAACAAGCUUACAUACACUAGCUAGUCCACGCUGAAAAAGAACGGUGCUAGGUAUGGGGUGCAUUCCUUGGAUCCAGUGCGGCACCUAACGCACUAAGUACCCCGCCCGCGGGGUACGGUCGGAAGGCUAGUAUAAAAAGAAGUGACUGGGUC
rnacentral:rRNA from 1 species